ensembl:lncRNA
AUUGCUUCCUUGUCCCCACAAGAGGGAAAUGCAUUAUUGUAUGGCAGGAGCCAAGAGGCUUGGGCCCCAUACAGGCCUCCCUCUAGGGGCCCCCUUGCUCCCCAUGGCAUGCAUGGGUCGGGUGGGAUGAUCCAUGAGAUCCUGGCCAAUCUGAAUCUUCUAGAGCCCUGUGACUUGCUGAGUGGGUUCCAUGGCAAGGCCUUGCAUACUUGGAAAGCAGGGUCAUUUCAUGUGACUCGGGAGAGAAUUCGAAUUCAUUUACAGACUGCUACGGCCUCUAUGUGUUGGUGUGCAAAACAGCUCUGCUCCAGCUGGGCAAGUGUCCCUGAAGACUUUCUCCAUGGGACCAUGUCCUCUCCUGUUCCCACGGAGGUCCAGGUAGCAAAUGUGCCCUGUGGAAACGAAGAUCUUAGAGACCCAAAGGGCAAUUUCAUGCUUGCAAAGCCAGCUUUCAUCAUCAGAGAAAUGUGUGUCAGGAGCUAAGCCUCUCAUCUGAAAGGGUCCAGCCCAGGAGACCCCGCUGACCUGAGGGUCACAGAAGGGGGCCCUCUGGACCCCCAGGGAACAGAGGGCAGGAGGAGUCCCCGCUCCAGUUUCCAGGAGGCUUUAGGCCACAAUGGGCAUUGGUCUACUGGGGCCAUGCAGAACCUUCCAGAAGAUCAGAGCUGGACAGGACCUUUGAGAGCAUCCAGCAACAACACAAUGCCAGCAGCAGUACUGGACUCUUACAGAGCUCUUGCUACGUGUCAGACAUUCUUCUAGAUCUUUGUAUUAACUCUUAAAUCUGCAGUCCUCACGACUAGCAAUCUGUGGAUCUACUCUGCCUCCCUCCUUUCCGGAGAUGGGCUUCUCUCCCGGCCUCAGGGCUCCUCUCUGCAAAGGAGGGAGGCAGGGUAGGUCCACACAUUACUAGUUGUUAAUGGAGAGGAGCGUGACCUGUCAAAAGGCGGUGAACUGGGGAGAAGUCCCAACUGCCAAGUCAUUCCAGAAAGCGGCUUCGCUGAGCUAUCAGUCAGAUGGUGAGGAGGCGAAGAAACAAGUCCUGCUCGCGGAGGCGAACCUGCUCUGCUUCCUCGGGCUGCGUUUUCAUACAGCUGCCUCUGUGUUACAGAGGCACCGUCUGCUGUCAUCAAAUCACAGCAAAUUACAGCACACAUGGGGUCCCGAGAUCCUGCGUGACAUCAUUAUAUGGGUUGUUUUGUUUAGCCACAUAACAGCCCUAGGAUGUAGAUCCUUAUUAUGUCCAUUUUACAGAUAAGUAAGCCGAGGCUAAGAACGGCCCGACACCAGCGUCACAGUCACACAGCUAGGAAAUGACCGGGUAGGAAUGUCAACCAGGCCCUCUGACGCCAUCGCACUUCUGCCUCCUGGCCCAGCAAUUCAGAACUUUAAAAAUUAAAUAUAAUCUAACACUUUGCAGCUUUCAUGGCUGCAUUCUUUGGACCAUGAACCUCUUAUCUUCAAAAGAUAGACCAGGGCCUCUCAAACGUUGAGAAGGGCGCAACCACUUGCAAUUUUUGAGCCUUCUGUAUUUUUUUAAAAGAUUUUAUUUGUUUAUUUAUGAGAGACACAGAGAGAGAGAGAGAGAGGCAGAGACACAGGCAGAGGGAGAAGCAGGCUCCCUGUGGGGAACCCAAUGUGGGACUCCAUCCCAGGACUCCGGGGUCACAUAGAGAGAGGCAGAGACACAGGCAGAGGGAGAAGCAGGAUCCCUGUGGGGAACCCAAUGUGGGACUCCAUCCCAGGACUCCGGGGUCACACCCUGGGCCCAAGGCAGACACUCAACCACUGAGCCAUCCAGGUGCCCCUCUGGUAUUUUUUUAAAGGAAGAAAAUAAUAAAACAGGACUAAAAUAUGAGUAGUAUAUUUUA